CCUACGGGAGGCAGCAGUAGGGAAUCUUUCACAAUGUGCGAAAGCCUGAUGGAGCAACGCCGCGUGCAGGCUGAAGGCCUUCGGGUUGUAAACUGCUUUUAUAAGCGAGAAAUAUGAUGGUAACUUAUGAAUAAGGAUCGGCUAACUACGUGCCAGCAGCCGCGGUCAUACGUAGGAUCCGAGCAUUAUCCGGAGUGACUGGGUGUAAAGAGUUGCGUAGGUGGCAUAAUAAGUAGCUAGUGAAAUCUGGUGGCUCAACCAUUCAGACUAUUAGCUAAAAUGUUAAGCUCGAGACCGUUAGGGGUAACUGGAAUUUCUAGUGUAGGAGUGAAAUCCGUAGAUAUUAGAAGGAACACCAAUAGCGUAGGCAGGUUGCUGGGACGGUUCUGACACUAAGGCACGAAAGCGUAGGGAGCAAACGGGAUUAGAUACCCCUGUAGUC
rnacentral:rRNA from 1 species